AGCUCCAGAAGUGUUUGCACAAUGCUCUCAGACACGUGGUGGGAUUCUUGGGUUGUCCUGUGCAGGGCCAGGAGCUGGACUUUGAGGAUCCCAGUGGGUCCCUCCCAAUUCAGGAUGUUCUCUGAUUUCUGCAGGCUGCAG